GCCUUGGGGCGUGAGAGGGCGUCCGGAGCGGAGAGGACACCGGGCGCUCAGCCCCCCGCCUGACCCCCUUCCGGGGCGCUGACAGGCUCUCGGGACACGGCCUCUGGGGGGCGUCGUGGGGUCACUUGUGUCGGUGGGUGCUUUUUUGGCGCCCCCGUCCCUCAGGGUCGGGCGUCCGAGUCGUGGGGGGCUCGGGGCCGGGAAGUGGGCGCUGCGGUGCGGCCCUGGAGUGCAGCCGCGGCGACAGGGCAUGGGGCGGGCGGCGGGAGGCAGGUGGGCCCCUCCCCGGGGCUCGUGAAGUGGGGGGACCUGGCGUGGGGGCCGCGGGAAGCUUUCGGGAAAUGUUUGUCCGGCAGUUGCAAGAAACUCUGCCCUCGGGACGAGGCGCCUUGCUUUUUGCCGGGGCCAGCGAAAGUGGCGGAUUUCACAGCAAAACUCGGGUGAAGCCAGGCUGGACCGGCCGGGAGUGAGAGAGGCCGGGAGCACCCGUCUGGAUGGGGACCAGAGAUGAACGAAUCCGCCUGUGUGUAGCACCAGGGCAUGAUGUGUGCACGUUGCUAUGCCAGUGUUUAAUGUUUGUUGCUUAUGGUUAUUUUAGGACUAAAUGAUAAAAAAGUUACUUGGGAGAGAGGGAACUGCUUGAUUUGACAUGAGUUCUUCACUUGUGCAUGCAGGAAAUACAUUAAUCCUGUACACACACAACUGAAUUUAUGUCCAGUGGACUUUACAAAUAAUAUACACAAAAUUCUAAAGCCCCGAAGCAAGGUGAUGUGUGUCUGAAGAGUUUCAGGUGUCAGGCUCCGUGUUCCGUGGGAACAAAAUAGGAGGACACCGAAGUACUUGAUAUGCCCAAGCAGUCAUCUUUUUGUAAUAAGCUUUGGAUCCCAUCAAAGUGGAGUUUAGUUGUAACUGCCAGGGUUAAGUAAUCGCAUUGACCCGGUGCCACCCACCAGUUUGGAGCUUCUCUGAAAGUAAUUUACGAGACAGUCCUGUGCUGAUUGUGAAUAACCAGUGCUUUUGCUGAUUUUUUUCCUUUUUAAUUUUACACUGUCAUCAUGUAUGUGUAUGCUACCUGCUUACCAAACGUUAGAAUGAAUUAUCCAUAGUUAAACUCUCCACUAAAUCACUAAAUCAGGUACUAGCUGUGGCAUGUCUUUAAAAAUAUAUAUAUUUGAAUGUUACCUGGAAAUUACCGAUAUAAUGGUUUCAAGCUGAUAGGGAUUUUUUGAACUUAAGUCUAGCAUAAACAUUAUCCCAAGUGGAUGUGUUUUAAAAUUUAAAUCUCAUCUAAGAAAACUUCCUGGUUUGUGAAAGGUGCAGGAUUGUGAUGAUAGCUGAGGAAAUGCCAGAGAGAAUUUUUGGUAGAGAAUAAGAGAACGACCUGUGAAUUUGGUGUUAACCAGCAGUCUCGGCAUAUACACACUUGCUCCUUACCUAAGCAUUUCUGAUAUGUGGGUGCUUUUUCUGUUGAUUAUGUGUCUUUGGUUAUUUGUCAUUUUCAAAAAGUUUCCUCAACAGAGGACCCUCACUUUGAAAUUGAGUCCCUGUGGCAUGUAGCCGGGAUACCAAAAGUUUUCAGCACCAGAUGCAGAGAGAGAUCAGUCCCUUUGGGAUCUUGUUAAUUCUUUCUGUGCAGCUACUUUUGUGCUGUGAGGUCUCUUUUACAUCUUGCUCCUAUUGGCCAUAGCUGACAUAUGUCUGUAUACAGUCCUGUAGUGGGGUACUUAAUUGUUACAACCUGAAAAGAUUAUUUCUUGUAAUAUAUAAAUAAAUUUUUAUGUUUUUCUCUCUUCUCUCUUUUUCAAGGGAACUGUAGAAUUGGACAAAUCAACACUUAGCAUGUCCCCCUCCUGUAGGUCUUGUUGACCUUGGUGGCAUCGUGGAGGUCAUAUGUUCAUGGAGAUAAACAGUUGUUGAACGGUUUACUCCAGGUGGUAAAAACACAUGGAUGGGAAAGUGAUUUGGGCUGUGCGUAUCUUGGUUUUUUAAAAAAUCAUUUUUAUCGAGCGUUUAUUGUGAUCAUGGCCAAAAAUAAAAUAAUUCUUUGACUUUUUUUUGAAAUACUAUACACACAUUUCUAUAUUACAUUUUUAAGAAUUGCUUAUUUUUCAAUUUUUCUAGUAUUUUUUGUAUAUUCUACCACAGGUGAACAACUCAUUUUUUGGGUGACAUUUUUAGAGCUUGCUUGAGGGGCACUAGAAAGAAGGGCAGUAAUGUGAUGUGAAUGUUUCAGCUUAUGAAAACAGCUGUGCUCUACUUUAAGAAAUUUGACAUUUAAAAGUGUAAGAUUGCAAAACAAAUUAAUUACUAGUUGGUUAUAUUAUGUGAGAAUUUUAAAAAAGGGAUUCACUAAAAGUUGCUUUCAAAUACUUAAUCCCUUUAAAUGGUAUUUAUCAAAUGUGAUUUGAUUUGUGAAUAAUCAGUUGGCAUACAACAAUUUAGGAACAGAUUUUUGGCAUAUGUAAGGGUUAUCAGUGUGUUCUUUGAAUUCUCUCUUUAGACCAAAAGUAUUUGGGGACAAAGUUAAAUUCAGUGUUGUUCCACUUAUAUGCCACCUAUAAUGGUUUAACUGAGUGGGAAAAUUGUCAUCUGAUUUAUCCCAUAUCAUUUAAGGCAGCGGUGUCCAAUCUUUUGGCCUCCCUGGGCCACAUUGGAAGAAGAAGAAUUGUCUUGGGCCACACAUCAAAUGCAUUAACAAUAACUAAUGAGCUUAAAAAAUUGCAACAAAAAUUUCAUAUUUUUGGAAAGUUUACACAUUUGUGUUGGGCCUCAUUCAAAGCUGUCCUGGGCCAUGGGUUGGACAAGCCUGAUUUAAGGAGUACAUUGAAGCCUAAUUAAAAUGCUUUUCACCACUGAGUAAAAUUUUAUGAUCAGGUUUGUCAGGAACCUCAUCCAAGGUAGUUUAGUUAGUGGAGUAUCAAAAGCACCUUGUUGUCAGACACUCUCACUAGGACAGUGGUCCCCCAGCAGAGGCCAACAAGCAGUUAUACCCAAACUUCAGCAAAAUCAAAAUAAGUAGAUUUGGUCUAAAGUCCACAAGCAGUAAAAACCGUUACCUUGAAAUUUUCUGUAGGUGCAAAUUAUUCUUCAGAAUUAAAGGCUUGAUUUUCCUAAGCUGUAAUUCUGUUUGAGUCACUUGUGAAAAAUGCUAUUUUGGUAAAAGAACAACUAUGUAUUCUUUCAAAGGAGUUUUUUCCCUUUGUGUUAAUGCAUUUGCGUUUAUUUGGAAUUGCAGGAGAUGAUGAAUGAAGUACUUGGGAAGUUUAAUUCAGAAAUCAUUUUGCUUUGCUUAUGUAGAAAAAAAAGGAAUGUGAGUUAAUAGGAGAACUUAUUUGUGGGUUAGUUCGUACUUCAUGUGGGGAUAAGGAGGAAAGGGAGGAAGUAGCCGCAAACUUUAUUAAGGAUAACUAAUCAAGUUUCAUUUGAUUUAUACUGUUCAUGCCUGGCUUGGGUAACAGUGACGCCUUCACCUUUUCCUAGUUUUCGAGAAAUUUUAUUCUUAGAGAAGGGGUUUGAAGGAUAAGAGCUAAGCAUCAGGGCAUACAAGAAGUAAAAAUUAUCUUCAGAAUGCUUAAUAGUAUUUUGUUUUGUUUUUAUGCAUUAGAAAGCAAGAAAUUAUUUUAAUACUGAAUAUGGGUCAAAGCCCAACUUCGGGAUACUGGGCAUGGUUUCAUACCUCUUAGCAAAAUUGAAUAUUAUAAAAAUGGAAGGAACAGCUUGAAUGGUGCCAUUGAUUUUUUUAGUACAGGCUCUUAGUUCCUCAAUUGAACAAAUGAGUAAAAAUGAAGAUUAAAGAAGAGAUGAUAUUAAAAGAAGUGUUUUCCAUUUUUUAAAAAAAUCCCAAGGGACUGUCUCAAAUGAUUGUUAAUUUCAGAACAUAGAUUAAAAAGUACAUUACAUUGGAUUUAUGAUUAAUGAGGACACAAUUACAAUUUUUAAAAAAUACAUGUAAAAAAGGUGAGUAUACUACUGCAGUUUACAAAUAUUUGUGCCAAGAUAUGUGAGGCUAGCGGUAAUGAUUAGAAAUUAUAAUUGGAAGUGAAGACUGAUUUAUGUUCUCAAUUUCAUUAUUUAAGCCAAUGUCACUUUUAAAAUGUCACUUAAUUUUUCUGUUCCCAAUGUUCUUUUCAAUAAAAUGCAAUCAUUAGUGCACCAUACUUUAUGUAAACUGGGGUUUCAAAAUAAUAUUAACUAGACUUUUUUUUUUUUUUUUUUUUUUAAGACAGAGUCUCACUCUGUCACCCAGGCUGGAGUGCAGUGGCGCGAUUUUGGCUCAAUGCAACCUGCGCCUCCCAGGUUCAAGCAAUUCUCCUGCCUCAGCCUCCCAAGUAGCUGAGAUUACAGGCACCCACCACCACGCCUGUCUAAUUUUUGUAUUUUUAGUAGAGACGGGAUUUCACCAUGUUGGCCAGGCUGGUCUCAAACUCCUGACCUCAGGUGAUCCGCCCGCCUGGGCCCCCCAAAGUGCUGGGAUUACAGGUGUUAGCCAGCGUGCCCAGCCAAUUUACUAGAUUUCUUAAGCAUAAAAUAUUAUCUAAUAAUAUGUAUAUGUAUGGGAUUUUUUAAAAGUUUAGAUUUUGUGAUCUGCAGAACUGUAGGCAACAGUUUUUAAAAAUAAGAAAGGCUGAGUUCAGGCCGGGCGUGGUGGCUCAUGCCUGUAAUCCCAGCACUUUGGGAGGCCGAGAUGGGCAGAUUGCCUGAGCUCAGGAAUUCAAGACCAGCCUGGUGAAACCCUGUCUCUACAAAAAUAACAAAACAAUUAGCUGGAUGUGGUGGCACAUGCCUGUAGUCCCAGCUCCUUGGGGGGCUAAGGUGGGAGGAUCGCUUGAGCCCAGGAGGUUGAGGCUGCAGUGAGCCGAGAUCACGCCACUACACUCCAGUCUGGGAUGACAAAGCAAGACCCUGUCUCCCUCUCCGGACACCCCUAAAAAAGAAAGGCUGAGUUCAGAGUUUUAGUCAUGGGUGACCCUAUAAAUUGCAAUUUCUUUUUCUCCCUAAAGGGUUUUCUUUCACUAUUACAUGUUUGUGUUUUCCUGAUUCCACUCAUGCUACUGUUAGGUGUUGAAUCAUCUUACCUAUAGCGUCAAUACAAAGUUCAUUUGUAAAAACUGUUCCGUUUAUUUUCUCCCAGCUGUUUCAUCUGAGAAAUUGUUUGAAUUUCAGUUGCCGAAUGUAGUUUAAUCGGUUACUCUAAAUAGAAAGGUUAUUGCAAUUUUCACAAACUAGGGGAAAUAUAAAUUUAUCUUAAGUUUAUGAACAUUUUUAUAUUCCUGUGGGGACAACUAAGCACAGUAUGUAUAAUUUAAUAUCUCUGUUGGCAUUUGUUCUAAGUUAAAUUUAUUUGCUGUAUUGUUAAAAUCAAUGUAGUAAGGUGUACAGUCUUUUAAAAACAAAUGUUCUUCUGUGGAAUAUUUUUCAAAAGGACCUGAAAAACAUGCUCUUAAAUAGAUGGAGUGGAAAUUUUACUAUUAAAUUGAAUAUAUAGUUAAAUGUGUGAUACUGGUAUUGUUUUGAUUGUUUUUAUUUUACAUGUGAGGAUUUUUUACAUGUUUCUGUGGAACUACGUUUAAGUAGGUUUUAAUUUUGAUUUAUAAACAAGCUUCUCUAAAAGAAAAAAGUUGUUUUGUUCUUUGUGAUUAUAUGGUAGUCCUCAGACUUUUGUAGUUGAAAGAAGUAGAAAUGAGUGAUUUAUUAAGCUGUUUAUGUAAAAUGACUAGUUGGAGCAUGUGAUGUAAUUUAUUUUUACUAUAAUGUGCGGAGAUGUCUUCAUCCCAAACAAAUUUAUAGCUGAAUCAUUUGCUAUUUUUUGCAAAUUUAGGGAAUCUGGAAUGUGCCCAGAAAUGAACUGUUGAUUGCCAAGUGUUCGAUUGAGUAAAUAUCAUAUGUAAAUGGUAUUUUGCUUGUAAUGACAUACUGUUACUGAUUAAGGACCAUUUCUUUUUUUUUUUUUUUUUGAAACGGAGUCUGGCUCUGUCGCCCAGGCUGGAGUGCAGUGGCGCAAUCUCCGCUCACUGCAAGCUCCGCCUCCCGGGUUCACGCCAUUCUCCUGCCUCAGCCUCCUGAGUAGCUGGGACUACAGGCGCCCGCCACCACGCCCGGCUAAUUUUUUUGUAUUUUUAGUAGAGAAGGGGUUUCGCCGUGUUAGCCAGGAUAGUCUUGAUCUCCUGACCUCGUGAUCCGCCCGCCUCGGCCUCCCAAAGUGCUGGGAUUACAGGCGUGAGCCACCGCGCCCGGCCUAAGGACCAUUUCUUAAGUAUGCCUGUAAGUAAAUAUACUACACAUAUUGGUCAAAUGAUGUAUUGACAGCUUUAAUUUGUAGCGUAUGCUUCUCUCACUCCUUUCUCCUUUUAGUAAUUGUCAGUUGUUUGUCUUCAGCCGUAUUCUGUGAGUGAACUUUUAAUGCGCUGAUAGAGUGCUCCAGGGUUGUUGUUUUCUAAUGUUUUAUCUGAUGGAGUAAAGAAAUAACUAUCUGAGAUCCUUGUGUAACUCUUAUUCUGUGUUAAACAUUGUUUUGAACAUUUCUUUUCAAUCUGUUAAUUAUACAGCAGAUGAUUCUUUAAAAAUUCUUAAGACUGAGUGAUUGUGUUCCCCACAAAUGUUAGUACUGGGAGGGAAGGGGGUAAAGGUAAAGAGAAAGAUCAUAGGGAUUAGUUUAGAUUGUAUAAAGUAAGUGUAAUUGUUUCGUUCUAAAACAUGUUGAGCUAAUCAUUGUAUGCCUUUUCCCUGGGAUUAUAACCUUGAUUUUUAAUUCACGCUUCUCACUGUGAAGAGUCAGGAGUAGUGAAUUGUAAGAGAGGCAUAUGUACCUCUUUAACCAGUUUUACAUGUUAUUGCUGGGAAUAUUAGAUGGCAAUAAGGAAGAUAAAUAGUUUCACAAUGAUGAUCAUUUUUAGUAAUCACAUUUAGAUUUCCAAAUUUUAUAAGGUGGAAGAAUAGACACCAUAGCUAUAGAUGGAGAAGGGCUUUUAGGCAGAAGGUCGUUGUUAGGAAAAUUCAAGUUUAUCAAUCUUGGAAAAAAAAUUACAGUUAUGCCAGUUACAUUCUAUGCCUUACAGCACUGCACUGUACCAGUUUUGAAUAUUCUGUGCCCAUAAAUACACUAGUAUUUGUCCAAACAUGAAUUCUGACUUUUAGGUUAGAAAAUGUGUUCAUUUAAAUUAUAGUUUUAACUUGAGUGAAAAGGCUGGUAAUUUUUAUCUUCCUUUUUCUGUAUUAUAAUUUUUUGUCAUUAAUUUUGAAGAUCUCAUGCUCUAUAUGAUUAGUUCUUUAUAUGACUAUUUCUGUAAUUGAUGAACAACUACUAGAAUGAAUUAUUGUACUUGAGCACUUAGAAUCAUGUCAGGAGAGGCAUGAAGUAAGUAGAACGUAUUUGUGUAGAGAUAAUAAAUUUACUUUCUAAAGCAGUGAUUUUGAAACUCUUUUGCCGAGAGUGUGCUGGAGGAAGUCAAGCAUUUCAUCCCGGUUUCAACCAGUGCUGUUUUAUUUUGAUUAAUUUUAAGCGUGGAAGUUUGCAUAGUAUUUCAGUUGAGCAAGGUUCUGUUGUUUAAAAAUACGGUAGCCUCUAUUGUUACCAUAUUUGAUCUUAUCACUUGCCUGCUUAAAUCCUUGCUAUUUUUUUAUUGUUAUUACGACUGAUAAGACUUUUCUUUCCCUAGCUCCAACUUUAUUCUUUAUCUCUGAUCACUUUUUCCUUUCCAUGUAAACCCUGCAUUCUAAUUCUACUUAAAUUGUUUGAUGUUCCCUGAGAGGAAAAUGUUAUUUUUACAUCUGCAUGCCUUUGCACAUGGAACUGCCACCAUUCUCACUUGAGCUAGGCAGCACUCAAUUCCCUUGGAACCUUGGUCAUCUUUCCAUAAAAGCAGUUAUUACAUUGUUUUGUAACCGUGGCCUCCCUUGAGAGCAGAGACCAUCUAAUUUAUCUUGUAUUCAUACUACUUGGUGUUUAUUCAGUAUUCAAAUGUCUGUUGAAUUAUUGCAUUUAGAAUUUGAGAAGUAGUAAAAUUACUUUAAUAAACACUAAUGUGAAUAAAAUAUCCCAGAUCUAGUUCUGUGCGAAAGAGUUUUAGUGACAGUGUCAGACAUUAUGCUAAAUAUAUAAAAGGCACCCGUUUGCACUUAUCAUGAAGUAUAAUAAAUCCAAAAUAUUUUUUAAAAUUAUGUGAGGUUCUAGUGGCUUAAGUGAUAUCUUAGAUUCAGUGAUCUGAUCUUAAAAGUUGAUUGUGAAAGCAUUUUAAUAAUUCUAUACAGCCUUGGCUGCCUGUGAUAAUAUUUUAUAUGUGAUUAAAGCUGAUAGACUUAAAGGGGCCUUCAAGUGUUAAGAUAUGUAAUUCAGCAAUACCAACUCUAAAGGUAGAAUGGAACCUGGAGCUAUCCUGCCUGAAUUCCUAUCACUCUCCUGUCUCUCAGUAGCUGUGUUGUCUUAGGCAAGUUACUUAACCAUUCUAUACCUCCUUUUUCUCAUCAGUAAAAUGAAGACAAUGAUAAUAUCACUUUAUAUGGCUGUGGUGAAGAGUAGCCAGGAAUUAAUGUAUAUAAGCACUUAAAAGAAUGCCUGACAUACAGAAAAUACUCAAUACAUGUUAACUGUAAUUAAUUUGAAGUGGCUUCUUAAAUCAAUAUUUAUUGUGCAUCAUUUUCAUCUUUUAAAGAUAAUUGCUUUCAUACUUGAGCAUCUAAUUUUUUUAAAACUUAAGAUUUUUAGUUAGUUACUAUGUUUUAGACUGGCAGUUGUUUCAGUACUUUCCAAAAGUACUAUCUCUACUGAGGUAUUGUCCUGUCUCCCAGUGAAAUGUAGGCUGUUCCCGUUGGAUGGAUUGACAUGGGAGAUUUGAAACUAGUUCUCCUGAUUUCUGAGCUUAUCAUUGAGUUCCCAUGACCAGGUGUUGGUAGUGUCCACAACAGAGCAGGAAGACAAAUAGUACAGAAUUCCAGUGGCAAGUUCUUAAGCCUUAACCUGUACUCUAAGUCAGUCCUAAACUUUCAUAUUCCUUAGUAGAGAACAGAUGUUCCCCUUUUUUCCCCCCACAUUUUCCUUUUUUGGCUUGGGAGAAUAGAUUUUUUAAAAAUCUGAAUUUAUAUUCCAAAAAGGCAUGUGCAAGUUAAUUUUCCUAAGUCAAUGAAGCCGCUUUUUAAGCUUACUUUGUAAGAUGCAUACCUGCAGUGAGAGAAGUAGGUAGGGCUUUAGUAAUUUGUGUCAGGAACCAUGUCCUAUUAAAUCCUGUGAAAAUAUGCACAUGUAGUACACAAAGAAAAAUUUAAGGGAAGAAGAGUUUUUUCCGAGUUAUUUUAUAAAGUAUUCUUUAUAAAAGUAUAUUUCUUGUAAUAAUCCUCCAUCUGUCCUUCUAGCCCACCUUUACUUUCUCACACUUAUGCUCUCAUAACAAUUAAAAUAUAAUCAAAGUUACUUGGGUAACUUAAAAAUUUUUCAUUAUAGGAAGGAAAUGUGUUUUGAGAAUCAGAAAUUUUUCAAAUGUUAAUAAAUUUUAGUGUUUUUUAUGCCAGCUGUGAGUUGAAGAUGAGGGGCUGGGAUAUAAAGCUAAAUCAGGUACUUAUCUUUAUUACUUAUGACCUACUAGGGUGUCCAGAGUAUGCAGAGAACAUAUGGGAAUUUGGAAGCUGGGAAUGGAGACUGGAAAAGUGCUGGAUUUUGAAUAGUGCCAGGAAAUAAAGGAAGACUUAGCAAGGGAUCAUUUUUCAAUGCCAGUGACAUGCUGUGUAAUAGUCUACCAUGGGAAAUUUGAAUGCUUAUACAAUUGGUCAGUAUACUAAUAUUGUCUUGUAAUUUGAACACUAACUCUUAAUAUUAACAAUUUUUUUCUCAACAGCCGUCGUAGGAACUUUUAAAAUAGGUUUUGCAUUUCCCCUGAAAAUGGUGAGUCAGGUCAUAUUAGGAAAAAUAAAUUCUGGAAUAAAUACAAUUUUGAUUAAACCUGUUUUCUCUAUAAAAACCCAAGACGCUGUAUCUAUCUUUAAUGUUAUCUAUUGUUAAAAUUUCAUUUCCCUCAACAGCAUGCGUUUCCAUGUUUAUUAGACCAAACAACUUCUUGUUUUACUUCUUACCUUUGUUUUUCCUUGUUGUUGUUAUUUAAUUAGAAAAGAAAUGCUGUUUGGGCCUUUUCAUAUGCCUCAAAAAUGUUUGGUUACACAGAGGAGUGAGUUAGAUUUAUAGGACUCACACCCAAUUUGAUCUCCUCAAGUGCAUUUCUAACCAUGUUUUCAUCCACUUUUCCUUGUUUUAGGUUUCUCAUAGAAAUAGCUUUUCAUUGAGCUAAAUGUAUUUCCUCUCUUACUCGUUCUUGGAAAUCUAGGACUAUGUAUGUGAAACUUCUUAUUCUUGUACACAAUAACUCUUAAGUAUUUGAAAAUGACUGUUCUACUUCAGUCUUCUUUUUUGCCAAACUGAGGGAAAAAAUUCUUUUUUUUUUUUUUUAAACUGCAUGCAUGUGACAUGGUUUACAGACCUUUCCCCAUCCAUAUCGCUCUACUCAUGACAAAGUUUUUGUCAGUUUACCUCUGAAAAUACAGUGGCCAGAACUGAACUGACUACUUCCGAUGUGGUCUGACCAUUGCUGAAUACAGUGAAGCUAUUAUCUAGGAUACUGUGUUUCUAUUAAUGUAGUCUGAAAUUUGCAUUGCAUUUUUUUGGCAGCCACAUUACCCUUUGAUCACAUUCAGCUUAUGAUCAACUAAAAUCUUGUCUUUUUUCCAUGUGAAUUACUUUAAGUCUAAUCUUUGUCACUCUUUACUUGCCAGUUGAUGCUUUGAAAGUAAAUGUAGGAUAUUAUGUAUUGCAUUACUAUAAAACUUUAAAUGAAUUUAUAUAUCUGAAGAUGUCACCAUUUGUAUAAAAUAGCACAGUUUUCAUGGUGUUUUCACAUCUAUUUAAUCUUCACAACAACCAUCUGAGAAUCAGAAAAACUGACUUUCCACUAAGUCUAGAAUUGGCACAUGUAGAACUUCAUUGCAAGCUUUUUGAUUCCAGAUCUCAUGCUCAUCUCAUCAUUAUUCAUUCACUUAAUAUGCAUUUAGUGUGUCCAUUCAUAUAUGGUAGGCACCAUGUGGUGCUGGUGUGUCAGGGGCGAGACACAUUACAGUCUCUAUCCUUGUGUUUAUGAUCUGGUGUAUAAAUACUACCAAUUACUAGGCACUUUUCAUAAGGAAGGCACUGUGGUAGACUAUUAUUUCAAAAAUAUUUAUUGCUUCUCUCUAUCAGGGUUCUUUCUGUAGUCGGAUUAUACUUCUCAUUCUGUUGACAUCAGGUUUGACCAUUUGGCUUUCCUUGACCAAUAAAAUGUUAAAGUGACAUGUCCCAUGUUUGAGCACAUAUUUUUCAUCCUGUGGUUCUGCCAGUGGCCCUUGACCCUCUGUCAUGGAACCAGCAUGACUUAGCUAUGGCUGGUCCCAGAAUAAUGGAGCAGAGCUGAAGCCAAUCUGUGAUAAGUAUAUAAGUGUGAGAUAAAUACUGUGCUGUAAGGCACCAUGAUUUUGGACAUUUGUUACCAUGGCAGAAUAUAGUUCAAGCGAUGAUACUGGCAUCACUCAAGGUGCUGUAUGAUGAUGAUAAGACUUGGGCAUUGUCCUAAAGGAGCUUACAGUCUUGGUAGAUGUAUUACAUUUCCACAGGUUAUUGGGAGUUGAGGAAAAGGAGAGUAAUAUUACAUAAGGAUCUUUGAAGUUGAGGAUCUUUCCUGACCUCCAUCUCAUCCCUAGGCUGAAUCAGUCAAUAUGUUUUAAACCCUGGGUUUGUGAUCCACUACUCACUGUCACAACCUCUUAUUGUCCAAAAUUUGAUAGGCAUAUUUUCUAUGCCCUCAUUCAAAUCACCUUUUUUAAAACAAACAUUUAAGAGGAUGAACUUCUACAGAAUUGUGAUUAUGAGCUUCCUUCAUAAAUCUAUUAAUCAGCAUUUAAUAGCAAGCUAAGAAUAUACCCAGUUAAACUGUUUCUCUAUUAUCCAGAAAGAUAUCAUGAUGUCCUAGAUUCUAUGUGAAUUUUAUUUGUGAGCAUUUAAAUUUCCCAUUGUCAUGUCUAUGUGUGCUUCUCACUCUGCAUGGGAUUUUAAAGAAACAAAGCCUUGGCUGGGAUUCCAAAAGGAAUCUUUUUUUUUUUCUUCCCCUCCGAGAAGCUAAGGAAUACAUACAUGGCCAGGGUUCAGAAGAGUUUUGAAACCUUUGAAAUAAUUACAUGUAAAAUUUUAUGUAAAUAUACAUUGUUCUGGUCCCUAGCUUUCAUCAUAUUAUCAAAGGAAAUCAAAAACUCCCCUGGAAGGUUGUAAACCCUGUUGAAGAGUGAGACUAGAAGUAGAACAAGGAUCUGAAGAGCACCAAUAUUUAAGGGACAAGUGGAAUAGGAGCCCAGAAAGAAGUCAGAGAAAGUGUAGUUAAUUAGAAUAUUUGAGGAGCGAGAGCAAAUGUAAUGUCAGAGAAACCAGUUCCUUAUUAAUCAGAGCUUUUGUGGCGUGUUGGGGGGCGGCGGGGGGGGGUGGUAAAUCCGGCAGUUCUCAUGGCGUUUCAUUGUGAUUCCUUGGAAAUUACCAAAUCUGCAGAUACAUUUAAUGUCUUGGGAUAAUAUUUUUCUUGACCUAUAAACAUGAAUUUAAAGUGAUUACUUUUCUUUUGCUGUCUCCUUCCUAUCUUGGACUUUGAUUUUUCUUUUAAUCCGUAUCCUUCACAGAUUAAAAGAUCAUUCUUUUUUUUCCUUUUUUUUUUCCUUCACCCCCUUCCUCUUCCCCUUCCCACUCCCAGACCGAUUCAAGGCAGGAGUAAAACAAUUAUGUAGGUUAUCUGUUAGCAGUUUUAUUGCAAGUAAGUAACCUGGCUUUUGUUUGUUGUUGUUGAGAAUGUAUUUAAGUCUUUUUAUUGUCCUUAACACUUUUGGCAAGUCUCUAUUUUUAUUGAAACAACUUUAUUGACAUAUAGUUGUUAUACAAUAAAUGGCAUAUAUUAUAAUGUGCAGUUUGUUAAGUUUUGACAUGUGUUUAUCCAUGAGACCAUCACCACAGUCAAGACACUAAACAUAUACCCCCAAAAGUUUUCUGAUGUCCCUUGAUAACCCUCCCCUGCAUUCUCUAGGCAACCAUUAUCUGUUUUCUUUUACUUUACAUUGGUAUGCAUGUCUUAGAAUACAAUAUGCACUCCUUUUGUCUGGCUACUUUCACCCAGCAUUAUUUGGAGAUUCAUCCAUGUUGUACCAUGCACCAAUAGUUACUCUUUCUUAUUGGUAAGUAGUAUUUCAUUGUAUGGAUAUACCACAUUUUGUGUAUCCAUUCACCUUUUGAUAAUCUAUUUGGGUUGAUUCCAGUGUUUGACUUUUAAAGUAAAGCUUCUAUGAAUAUGUAUGUACAUGUCUUUGUAUGGACAUAAACUUUUCAUUUCUCUGGGCAUACACCUAGGAGUAGAAUGGCUGAAUCAUAUGGUAGCUAUAUGUUCUAUAUCUACCUAGUUUCUUCUUAAACUGCCGAUGGUUUUCCAAAGUGGCGGUACCAUUUUACAUUCCCACCAGCAUUAUGCUAUCAUUUGGUGCAGUCAGUCUUUUUAAUUAUUGCCAUUCUAAUUAGUGAGUAGUGGUGGUUUUAAUUUGCAUUUCUCUAAUGACUGCUGAUGGUUAGCAUCCUUACAUAUGUUUAUUUGCCAUCCCUUUCUCUUUUGGGAAGCAUCUGUUCAAAUCUUUUACCCGUUAAAAAAAUCUGGUUGGUUGUUUUCUUACUGCAUUCUGAGGGUUCUUAUGUAUAAAUCCUUUAUCAAAUUUAUGAUUUGCAAAUAUUUUUCCAGUCUAUGGUUUGUCUCUUCAUUCUCUUAGCAAUGUCUUUUGAAGGGCAAAGGUUUUAAUUUUGAUAUCUAAUUUAUCAGUUCUUUUAUGGAUUGUACUUUUGGUACUGUAUCUAAAAAUGUUUUUUUGCGUAAUUCAAGGUCAACAAAGGUUUUCUCCUGUGCUUUCUCCCUGUAGUUUUAGGUUUUCUAUCUAAAUAUAGUGAUCCAUUUUGAGUUAAGUUUUGAGUAUAGAAAACUUUUCUAUCUGGAUGUUCUUAAAACACCAUUUGUUGAAAAUUUAUCCUUUUUCUAUUGAAUUCCCUUUUCGCCCUGUGAAUAAUCAGUUGACUUUAUAUAUGUAGUAGUUCUAUUUUGGACUCGAUUUUGUUCCAUUGAGGUAUUUGUUGAUCUUGACACCAGUGCUGCACUGCGUUGAUUAUUCAGUGUUGAAAUCAUGUAGUCUUCCAAUUUUCUUUUUUUCAAAGUUAUUUUUGCUAGUCUAGGUAUUUUACAUUUCCUUAUGAAUUUUAGAAUAAGUGUCAGUUUUUUUAAAAAGCUUGCUUGACGUUUUGAUUGGAAUUGCAGUGAAUCUGUAGGUCAAUUUGGAAAGAAUUGACAUUUAAAAAUUAUUGAGUCUUCUGACCCAUGAACAUGGUAUAGCACUCGGUUUAGGGCUUCAUUAAUUUCUCUCAGUAAUGUUUGGUAGUUUAUAGGAUGCAAGUGUUUUAUAUUUUGGUCUCGUAUAUGCCUCUGUAAGUUGGGUUCUGCAGAGAAACAAUAAGGGUGUGUUGUGUGUGUGUGUGUGUGUGUGUGUGUGUGUGUGUGUGUGUGUAGAGAGAGAGACAGAGAGAUUGAUUUUAAGAAAUUGGCUCGUGAUUGUGGUGGGUGGCAAGUCCAAAAUUCAUAGAAUUGGCAGGCAGGAUGGAACCUUAGGCAGGAUUUCUCUUACAGUCUUGAGAUAGAAUUCCUUCUUCCUUAGGUUAUCUGGUUUUGCUCUGAAGGCCUCAUUUGAUUGGAUGAGGCCCACCCAGUUAUGGAGGAGAGCUCUUUUUCUUAAUGUCAACUGAUAUCGUUAAUCACAUCUACAGAAUAGCAAUAGCUAGUGUUUGAUCAACUGGGCAGCAUAGCCUAGCCAAGUUGACACAUUAAGUUAACUACUAAUAUCAUUGCAAUCUCUGAAUAUUUCAUAUUUUAAAAUACUAUUGUAAAUGGUAUACUUUUUUUUUUUUUUGAGAUGGAGUCUUACUCUGUCGCCCAGGCAGGAGUGCAGUGGCGUGAUCUCAGCUCACUGCAACCUCCGCCUCCCGAGUUCAAGCCAUUCUCCUGCCUCGGCCUUCUGAGUAGCUGGGAUUAUAGGCAUGCACCACCAUGCCCAGUUAAUUUUUGUAUUUUUGGUAGAGACUGGGUUCCACCAUAUUGGCCAGGCUGGUCUCGAACUCCUGACCUCCUGAUCCACCUACUUUGGCCUCUCAGUGUUGGGAUUACAGGCAUGAGCCACCGUGCCUGGCCAGUGGUAUGCAUUUUUAAGCUCAGUUUCUGAUUGAUGCUAGUUCACUAUUGCUUUUUAAAAAAAUACUUUAGCCUUCUUUUCAUUAUUAAACUCAUAUGACUAGCAGCCUUUUCAUUUGAAAUUAGGAUUACCCUCUAUUUUUAGACAUAUCCUUUAAAAAUAUGAAUUUUUUAAAGAAAAGUCCUAAUGUUGUUACUUAAUCUCUCACUUUUUUUUUUCUUUUUACUGGAAUCAUCUGACAGAAAUGGCAAUUUCAUUUCAAGAGUCUUGUCUUAUUUUUCUGGGCCAUGUUCUGGUUGUUUUUUUCAUCACAGGAUUGUAACAGUCCUUAAAUAUUUUAGAGAUUAAAAGUCUAGGUCAAUUUAGAGCGUAAUUGGCAAAAUAGACAUGUUACCAAAAACAGAGAUAUAGGAAGUUUGGGAGAGAAGUUAAGGUUCAUAUUUUAGGUAUGACCUUUCUGCUAGUCUCUUUCUUUGAUAAAGUCAUUUAAUUUCUUUGAGUCCUAGUUCCUCAUCUGUAAAGUAGAGUAAUAUCCACUUCCUGUGGAGUUGUCAUGAAGUUAAAUGAGAUGCUUUGUGUAAAGAGCCUGGACUAGUGCUGCUAAAUAGAUGCAGCUCCCUUUACUAUAUUUUUAUUUAUUCAGUAAAUAUUUGACACUCACUAUAUGCCAGACACUGUUCCAGACUCUGGAAUUACAGGAGUGAAAAGAUAGGCAACAUUCCUAUUCUUACAGAGCCUCUAUGUUGGCUGUUCUGACAGAAGAGGAAGAUAAACAAGGAAAGGAAUAAACUAAACAAUUUCAGAUUGUAGUAAGAAGUGUAAAGAAAAUCAAAGAGUGCUUGGUAAUAAAGAAUUGCUGUGGUGAAAGCCCACUUCAGACUAAGCAGUCAGGGAAGACCUCUUUAAAAAGGUGACGUUUGAGUAGAAAUGCCCUUAGGAUUUUGGAGAAACUAGGCAUGUGGAGAUCUGAGUGAAAAAGUUUCCUGGCAGAGAGAAGAGAUAGUGCAAAGCCUCUAAAGUGAGAAAAAUGUGACAAAUUGAGAGAAUUGAAUGAAGCCUAGAGGUGCUGAUUGCAAGUAGUGGAGAAGUCAGAGAGGACCAGCUAGUGUAGGGUCUUACAAGCCACAAUAAGAAGAAUGGAUUUUAUUCUAGGUGCAGAGAGAAGCCACUGGAGGGUUUUAAAACAGAGGUGUUGUGAUCAUUAGGUGGAAGUGUUGCUGUGGACUUUCAGAAAUGAGAACUUAGCUGUGAAACAUUAGCAAACUAAAUACUAGCAACUUGGAUUUCUAGUUGGCCAAGAAACAUGAGGGUAAACAACUUAUUUUCCCUGAUAAAAAAAUCCCAGCAAGUCUCUAACAAAAGCAAGUCUAGGUUAUCUAGAGCAAAUACCAUUUUAUAUCUUUUUAAUUUUACUAAGACUUGUUAUGCAAUUAUAGAUAUUACAGAUGUUUUCAAAAAUAGUGCUUUGUGGAUUGUUUUCCUUUUAUGAGUCCAUGUGGCAAUUGACUAGCAUAGCAGUAAAAAGUACAACUCUGGUUUCAGAUACGAGCAUGAUGAUUGAUCACAUAGAAGCAUUAAGUUAAUAUUAACAAGGAUCUAUUGCCAGAAUGUAUUUCAUUAUAGGAUUUUGAAAUUAUUUAGCUGAAUGGACCUUAAGAGUUGGUCUUUUUUCCUUUAUAGAAGAGGGAACUUAGAUUCAAAGGGGUUAAGUGAUUCACAUUAUUUAAACAUUUAAAAAAUAAACCUGGAUUUUACUAUUCUUCUAGUUGUAGGAUGACAGGUUCUUGAGGCAAAAUGUGGAAUGAGAGAAGAUAGUGACAUCUGUUUGCUUUGUAUCUGCUGCCUUCUCUGUUGCUCAUUUAUUUUACAUCUAUGCUGUUUCACACUUAUCUUUGGACUUAGGGUAUUGGGAUGUGUCAAACAGUUGCUCCCUUAGUGUGGAAACAGACAAGUAAACACAGUUGCUACACAAGUUGCAGACAUCAUAUGAUAAAGGCAAGCUUAGUGUGUUGUGGAGGGCAUGAUGGGUGUGUCUGUUAAGUGUCCCUGUUUAGAAUCUGUUUACAUACAGAGUUGAAUGUCCUUGGCUUCUCAUUUCAAUUUAAUAUAUAUUAUAUUGCCUUGGCUGUUAGGCCUUUCUUGCACUUGUUUGCCUCCCAGCCAUAAGCCAGUUUGAAGGCCACGAUCCAUCAGGUCUAGUGGGUUAAUCCAUGUCUGACCAGUAAGACCUACCUAUCUUGACAGUCACCAUGAUGACAGCAUGUCUUAUUUUAAAUAGAAACCUGGUUAGAGACUAAUAUAAGAAUAGUUGGUCUUGAAUAGAUGUAUUCCUUCUCUUAAGCGAGGUAGGUUUUAUUAAGCCUUGUAUUUUGAAAAAUCCUGAAAGGAAAUUGAGAAACAGCUAUCAUUUUGUUAAUUUUGGCUCCUUUUACUGUAUUUUAUUUUGAAGUAUAGCCAUUCCUAAGAACGCUAGCACAUGAGUUCAUUGUUGAUGUUAUAACAUAUUCUGAAUCUUAAAACAAGGUACCAAAAAUACAUUCAUAGAACAAGUAGAUAAAGUAGCACUGCUAUAAUUAGGGAAAAAUGGUAGUUUUCUUGUAAGCCCUUUCUCUUUCAAGAGCUUAUAAUUUUCUGUAAAAACCAAACAUUAUCCUUUGGGCACGUGUGUUUUAUUCUUUCUCUUGAUUCUGUGUUAUAAAGUUUGAUUAAAAAGGAAAGAUAUUAACUUUUUGUCUCCCACACAAAGAAUGUUCAUAAUUGUAAUUUUUGGGUAUGACUUGUUGCCAUACCCUUGAGCCUCCCUUUGUUUAAAGAGUAAUUAUAUAUAUAUAUAUAUUUUAAUCUAUAAAGAAGUAUCUUUGACGUGUGUGUGUGUGUGUAUGUGUAUAAAAUCAAAACGGCAUACAUUUUUGAGAAUAUUUAGUGAUUCCUGAAGACUGUAUUAUAGUUGUAUAAAGAAUUAGAUGGCAGGCCAGGCACGGUGGCUCACGCCUCUAAUCCCAGCACUUUGGGAGGCGGCUGAGGCAGGUGGAUCAACUGAGGUCAGGAGUUGGAGACCAGCCUGGCCAACAUGGUGAAACCCCGUCUCUACUAAAAAUACAAAAAAAUUAGCUGGGCGUGGUGGCCCACACCUGUAAUCCUAGCUACUCAGGAGGCUGAGGCAGGAGAAUCACUUGAACGGGGAAGCGGAGGUUGCAGUGAACUGAGAUUGCGCCAUUGCACUGCAGCCUAGGCAACAAGAGUGAAACUCUGUUUCAAAAAAAAAGAAUUAGAUGGCAAUAGCUUUAGCAAUCUAAUGUGGUAGGUGAUCUGGCAUUAUCUAUCUCUUUGGUCACAUGAGGAUAAGGCUGCCCAUGUCGGUUAUCCAUGUCCUGGGCCUUAGGAAGAAGGGAGCCAGAAUCUUAGAAAUUUGAACUGAGAAAAUUGAACGCAAGUUAGCAGCCUAAAAUAUAAAACCGAUAUAAAAAUACAACCAGAUUGUGUAUGAAUUAUUGUUUUCUCAUCUUUAUUUUGUGCAGAUCAAGAAACUGAACUGUGCAAGUAUUUUCUGUGAAAGGGUGAAUAAGCUAUCCAAAGUGAGUGAUUUUAGCCUGUGUAGAAAACAUCUCCAGCUGUGUUAAAUAUAAAGCUGUCAGUUCUUUGAAUAUCUCCUUGCAAUAAUUAAUCAUCCUUCUCAGUUAACAGCACAGACAGUACAGCACAGGUAAGAGAGUAGGCUCUGGAGCCAGUCUACCAAUGCUGUUGUGACUCUGGGUACAUUGCUUUCUGUCUCUCAUUUCUCAUUUACAAAAAGAGGAUAGAUAACACUAGUACCUACCUAAUAGUGUUGUUAUGGGGAUUAAAUUAGUUAAUAUAUAUAAAACACUUAGAACAUUGCCUCAGAGAUAGUAAGCACCAUGUAUUUACUGUUUGUUGCUGCAUAUCUAUUAUACGAUUGAUUGAUUGAUUGAUUGAUUGAUUGAGACAGAGUCUUGCUCUGUUGCCCAGGCUGGAGUACAGUGGCACAAUCUUGGCUCACUGCAACCUCUGCCUCUAGGGGUUCAAAUGAUUCUCCUGCCUCAGUCACCUGAGUAUCUGGGAUUACAGGUAUGCGCCACCAUGCCCAAUUAAUUUUUGUAUUUUUAGUAGAGACAGGGUUUCACCAUGUUGGCCAGGCAGGCUGGUCUCGAACUCCUGGACUCAAGUGAUUUGCCCGCCUUGGCCUCCCAAAGUGCUGGGAUUACAGGCAUGAGCCACUGCGCCUGGCUGUAUAAUACAUUUUAAGUGGCUGGUUUUAUUAGUUAAGUUCUCGCAGAGAAUUUGGCAUUUGAACUGGUCCUUGAAGGAUAAAUAGGAUUUGUAAAAGUGAAACAUAAAGAAUUGAAAAUGGUAAAAGCUAUGUGAAUUAAGUUGUUAAGAGGAAGUAAAGAAUCUUUGUUUCCAUUUAUUGCAUACUAGCUAUGUGCCUGCCUCUGAGCUUAGCAUUUGAUGAUCAUUACAUUAUCUUAUUCAAUCCUCAUAAUAACCCUCCAAGAUAGGUAUUUUAUUUUAUUUUAUUUUAUUUUAUUUUAUUUUAUUUUAUUGAUACGGAGUCUUGCUCUUGUCGCCCAGGCUGCAGUGCAGUGGUGCGAUCUCGGCUCACUGCAACCUCUGCCUCCCAGGUUCAGGCUAUUCUCCUAUGUCAGCUUCUCGAGUAGCUGGGAUUACAGGCGCCUGCCAUGAUGCCCAGCUAAUUUUUGUAUUUUUAGUAGAGACAGAGUUUCACCAUGUUGGCCAGGCUGGUCUUGAACUCCUGACCUCAGGUGAUCCACCCGCCUCAGCCUCCCAAAGUGCUAGGAUCACAGGCAAGAUAGGUAUUUUAAAUUGUCAUUUAACAGAUGGCAAAUAGCCACAGAAAAGUAAAGCCACUUUUUCAAACUCACGAAGUCAAAUGUUUGGCCUAGUUCUGUCAGACUGUAAAGCCCAUGCUUUUAAUUGUUAUCUAAUACUGCUUUCCUAUCAGUAGACUAUCAGAUUAUCAUUCCUAAAGAUAUUUAAAAGAAUGGGUGCUCUAGGGUUGGAGUUCAAAACAUUAAUAGAAUUUUACUAUUAAGGAUGCAUGUGAUCACUUUGCUGCUGUGAGAGACUCUGGAUGCUGUGUUUGCUGGUCAUUUCAAAGGCUGAAGAGAAACAGACAUGCCUGUCCUUGCCAAAUACAUUGUUUCCCCUAUCAUUCUGUCACUAUGGAAGUACUUGUUUUUUCUGACCUGGGAAUAAUGGUAUUGUGGUUAUUGGCGUUUUUGUUAUCUUUCUUACUAGAAAUUAUGCAGAUAUCCCCAAUUAUAUCCAGAUGCACACCUUAGAUUCCAAAUUUUGUUGCCUGGGAUUGACUGAGUACCCUUUUGAGUUCCCUGCAUCAGAGACAUGUUUACAGUUGUGCUUCCCAGUCUUCAGCAUUUAUGGUUUCAUGUUUGUCAAAUUUGUUUGAAGUAUAAAAGCGAUAAUCUUAAUUCUGUUACUGAUCAUUCCUUCAUUCUCUAGCUUAAUUUGUCACAUCAUCUUUCUUUUGAAACGUUUAGGGAAUUAAUAAAUUAAUAAUUUUAUACUCAUUCUUUUUCCACUCACAUAUCUCACUGGCUUUAUUCAGAAUUAAAUUUUUUUUGGUCCCUGUGUACUAUUUCCUUCUAUUAAUUAACUGACGGUUGUUUCUCUCUUCUGUGUUUUUGAUGCUUUUUUUUUUCUUUUACUGUUUAAAACUUUUUCAGAAGAUGUAGCGAGUGACUCAGGUGCUAGCUAGUGUUACUGAUUUCCCCCCCAUGUUAGUUAAUACCAUGUCAAAUAUAACUGAAGAACUCUGUUGUACUCACAGAUUAUGCCCCUCAUGGUCAGCAGACUAUUCAGAUACAGACUUUCAGGGGGAAGGUUUUCAAAAAAGUGUGGCUGCAAUCUGUAAAUGCUUUUAACAUCUGCACAUUGCAUUACUGUUUUCAAAUGUUUUUAUACCCACAUCAUUUUAUUUAAUAUUCACAACUAUUCUGUGAGAGCUUUAUUCUUUUAUGUUGUAGGGUUUUCUUAUUUUACAGAUUGGGAAACUGGUGUGGAGCGGUUAAAUGACUUACUCAAGAUUACAUAGCUAGUUAUAAGUGGAAGGACAAGGAUUUGAAGGAACAGGUGUGGCCUCUUCCAGGAAACAGUAUAAAUAGUCAGACUUUAUGAAGGAUAAAUUGGUAGGAGAGUCAUUUAUCUCACUUGUCUGUAAAGAGGAUUCUUUUUCUCAAGUAGAGCGUGAAGUAGAUUAUUUACUAGAAAAGCUUGAAAAUGCAUUUCAGAAAAUUAAAACUGCUUUGAAAUUAGGUGCAUAAUAAGAAUUGUUUCAGAGCCUGGCAUCCGUUGGACAUUACACACAUAUUCUCUGUCAAUGAGGUUUACAGUUAAGGUCUCUUCAAUCCUUAUUUUCUGAAAUCUCUUUUUGCUUAUAUAUUGAGACUGAAGUUAGCAAUUUUCCUCCAGGUGUGGACUUUGAAAAUUAAAUAUACUUAUUGAAAUGUAGGUUGUGUUUAUAUAGUGCUACCCUCCAGGAUUCUUGGAAAUUUAAAUGUAUUAUUGUAUGUAUGAAUCAUGGAAUGCACUAUAGAAUCUAUAGUGGUUAUCAGUUUUGUUUUGGGUGUAGUUCAUGGUGUUUACUUAAGUCUCUAAAGCAGAGUUUAGGAUCUCUGCAUUUCAGUUAUCUGAGUGCUGUGGGCCUACAUACCCACUCAGAUUCUCUUGUUCUAAGUGGUCUUAACACUCAGUUAGCUCUAUGUGUUGGUGGUGACAAAUUUUACUAUAUUUAUGACCUAGGUCUUUGAGUGGGCACUGUUUCAAGAAUCUAAGAAGGUACUGGCUACUAUUCAACUCACUAUCGGUUUCAAUUAUGGUCAGAGAAUUUUGAAAACAAAAAUUCUGAAUGCCCUAUAGUUUAGUAAAAAGUAGUUGAUCCUUUUGUUCAAAGCACUCUCCCACUUCACCUCCCCUCUAGGUUUGAAGCAUUCCUAUGCAGACAGUUUACCGACAUGAUAAACAAAAUUAUCCAUUCAUGCAUCCUAGGAUUUUAAUGUUACCAUCGCCCUCCACUCAAAAUGCAAUAUGCAUUUAGUCUGUAAUAGCAUCACUCCAUUUUAAGUGAAUAGUUGUUUCAGCUUUGAUUUGUAAUCACAAUUAAGGUAAAUUAUCCUUGUUUGCCUAGGACUGUCCUGGUUUUAAAACUCAAAAUCUCUCGUCCAAGGAACCCUCUCAGUCCCGGACAAACCAGAACAAUUUCUUAAAAUACUAUUUAGGACAACUGGUCACCCUAACGGCAAGGCUGUGUUGUUGAUUAGGCUUUAGGCAUGUUAUUGAGACUAUAGACUAAGCUCAGAUCAAUGGUUUUGAAGAUUCUGUAUGGGUCAGGAUUACCUGGAGUACUUGUUAAACAGACUGCUGGCUCCCAUCCCCCUAGUUUGGAUGGAGUAGGUCUGGGGUGGGGGUCUGAGAAUUACUUUAGUAACAGUUGCCUAAGCCAUGCUGACGCUGCUGGUUAGGAGAGUGCAUUGAGAACCACUGGCCUAGAUCAGGCUGUGUGCUGUGUGAGUAUAUGAUGAUGCUUGGUUCAGAAUUGUGGAGAAUGGGGAGCUGUGUUUCUCUGCCUCACAGGUCUAAGCACCAAUAACACCAAAGGGUAUUUGUAUCUGAACUGUGCUCAUACAGCACAAGAAGAGACGUGCUCCUGUUAGAGGUGACAGAAGUAGGGGAAGGAUUAAGAACAGUCUAGCUGCCGAAUCCUUCAUAGUAUGGAUAUAUUUUGAUUGUUUAUAGUAUCUUAGGCAAACUUUGAUUUGAUAAUUAAUUUGAGUCUUAUAGUCACAACAUCUGAAAUGGAUACUUCAGAAAGCAGAUAUUCAUUAUUAUAGCAGAACUGAUUAUAGCUGGGUUUAGCAGGGAUAUAAUGGUAGCCAUCUUGCCUACUUCUCAGUUAUCACUGUAAAAAUCUAGUUACAUAAAAGGUGUGAGCAUGCGGUACAAAUAAGAUGUCAUGGUGAUGAUUAAAGCGUACUUUGUUGUUGGACAGUAUGUUUCACAGUGCUUUCAUCUUCAUGUUCCAUUUGGUUGUUUUCAGGUGUCUUCAGAAUUCAGCAAAGUAGAUGGGAUGCAGACGUUACCAUUCCCUGAGACUCUUGCUACGAUCUUACAGACUUCAUUGUGCCAGGCUUAGAUGUCUUCAGAGUCACCAGGUACUUGGUUGUUCCUAGAUAGUGGGCCUGCCUGAUCAGGAUUUGGUACUUUUCCCACUGAAAUAAAAUUGUUUUGCCUAAGCCUCAUUUUGUGUGUCAAGAAAAUAAAGGCAAAAGAGUAAGUGCUGUGCUCCUAAUCCACAGCUAGCUGGUAGUCAGCAGCCUGGGAGGCUGAGUCUCUGGUCUCCUAGUCUCAACCUUCUAGGCAGUGAGCAUUGUUAAUCACAGAACAGGCCCUCCUUGGACUCCUUGGCUUGCUCGUCUUUGUUUCUUCCAGGGCCUAGCGUUCACAUCCACACACAUACUACAUACGUUUCUGCAUGUGUGCGUGUGCAUGUCAGGGAAACCAGAAUUUGUUCUCAGCUCCUUACUCAUGUGAGCUUAGCGAAAUCGUUUCUCCAAUCUGUACCUUCUUCUUCAUCUGUAAAAUAGAAUUAUCAUCUGCUCUGCUACUAACCUUAAAAGUAGUUACUGCAUAAGGAUGAGAAAAUGUAUAAAAACACUUUGAAGCUUUUGUUACAAAGGGCAGUUAGUAAUAAUGAGUAAAUGAUAAAUAAGCCUUAUAGAACAGGAAGCCUUUUCAUCUUUCUGUCCUAAACACCCUUCUAUUUUAUAAAUUUUUCAAGUAGAUUGUUUAUUAAUUUAGAUAAUGUUUUCUUUUUCUUUUUGUCUCUGCUCUAUUUAUUUAACAUUGGAUAUAUAGAGAAUGGUAAUUAUUAUUGAAUGGAUUGAAAACAAGAAUAGAGUCUCUUUGGGAGUAUCUGUGUGUGUGUGUUUUUUUUUUUUUUUUCCAUGUAAUUGGAGGCAUUUUCUGCUCCAUGGUCGGUUUCUAGUGGUUUGUGAAUUCUUGCCUUCUGCCAAGUGUUUUCUCCCUGUCACCACCCUGCUACUACUCUUUGUGUUUACCUUCCCAGCUGCCCUGCCUUAUUUCAGAGUUCAGAGUCAAAUUGUAGCCAACCAUUUCUGAGAGCCUUCCUAGACAUCACUGAAUUUCAGCUGAUUAAUAGAUUUAAGGGAUGCGAAAUCUAGGCCAAUUCAGAAUUUUACUUCAUUUGAGGGUUUUUUUUCCAGAAUAUUUAUCUUAAGUUACAAAAUGUUGUUUCCUGUUAAUUGUUUUCUUAUGUAUUCUGGUAAAAUUUUAUAAACCCAGUAAAACUCUCUUAUAACAAUACUCUUGGGGGAUAAUGGCUUGUAUUCGUUCUGGAUCGUCACAUAGGAAGAGAUGUGUUUAGGUAUCUAACUUGGUUUCAGCAUUGUGCUUGAGACAUCUGUGGUAGGACAGAAUCUGUGGCAAAUGUGGCAUGGCAUACAUUAUAUAUGGCUAUUCAUAAACUGCCUUUGAUAGAUUGACAAACAUUUCCAGUUACUGAACCAGUAGCACUGUUCCAGUCAGUAGCUCAGUAAUAUCCAUUUUUUUGUCUGUACAGCAGAUUGUAUGUAUGCAUGUGUGUUUUGCCCAUUUUUAUAAAAAUGUGUUAAAAGUAAAAUGCUAAUGCUGAUAGAAAAUUGACCCGCAAAUAUGUAAUGUUUUUGACAAAGAUGGAAAUCAUAAAGCAUGCCAAAAAUGGUAAACCUUUAGCUUCAGCUAUCCCCUCAUUAGACUUUACCUUCUUACUGUGUAUUAUUACAAAGAUUGUGUCUAGAAGAUAUUUUAUAAUGAUAGAAGGUAUUUUAUAAUAGGGUUUCUUAUCACAUAUACUUAAUAUUCAACUUCUGUACAUUUAAUUUUCAUGUUUCCUCAAGAAUAUAUUAUACAAAGUCAUAGCAUUUGACAAAAUUCCUUCAUAACGCUGAAGAAAAUAUUCUAUGUAUUGUUUGUGUGAGUUAAAUACAGUGGCUCUGAUAAAAAUGUCUUUUGAUCAGUCUUUAAAAAAAUUAAACUGAGAACAGGAAGGUAAAUUAAAGGGGAGAUUUGGAGACUUGUGGUAACUGGUUUAUUGCAACUUAAUGUGCAGCAUCCUCAUUAGUCAAGUAUCAUGUGCCUACCUAGGCAUGAAAUAGCUAUUUUUUUCCUGAUUUAAAUCUGGAAAGUUUCAGUUGUAGUACAGUUUGAAUAGUUGUUGUUGUAAAUAGCCACUGGACUUUUUAAAACAGUAUUUUUCUUCAAAAACAGUGAAGGUCAUCUUGUAUCCAUAGAGACCACAUGUACUUUCCUCGUUAUUUCCAGCAUUAUUUAUAUAAUGGGUAGAGUUAUUUACAACAUUAAACAAAAAGUAUUUCAGAGAGCAACCGUUAAAUAUUAUCACAGGGUAAAUAUCAGCAACUGAAAUCCUUUUCUCAUAGUUUCUCAAAAAACUUGGUAUUAGGAAAUUAGUAGUCUCUCAGAAUUUGUAUAUUGGUUUUCUUCAGUAGUUAUUCUGUAGAGUGUGUGUGUACAUAUGCAUGCUCAUGUAUGUAUGUAUGUUCAUUUCUUAAAUCAUUUCAUAAAUCACCGUGACUUAAUUGUGGACUUUAAUUGUUUUCAUAGUUUUUUUCCCCAAAAGAAGGUUACUUUACAUAUUUUAUUUUAUUUUUAUUUUUUUUGAGACAGGGUCUCACUCUGUCGCCCAGGCUGCAGUGCAGUGGCAUGAGCUCAGCUCACUGCAGCCUCCACCUCCCAAGCUCAGGGAUCCUCUUACCUCAGCCUCCCGAAUAGCUGGGACCACAGGCAUGCACCACCACACCCAGCUAAUAUGUUGUAUGUUUUUAGAGAUAGGGUUUUGCCACUUAGCCCAAGUCUGGUCUUGAACUCCUGGACUCAAGCGAUCUACCCAUCCACCUGCCUCGGCCUCCCAAAGUGCUGUGAUUAUAGACAUGAGCCACUGUGCCUGGCAAUUUUACAUAUUUUAAGUUAAAGCAAAUCUUGGUUUUUGAUGGAAUGCAGAUUUACUUAUAUUUCACUUAGUCUUUUUCCUUUCUUUCAGAAAAGUGGUGUGGAAACAAAAUGGUUUUAGUAUAUUGCCUUAUAAACAAAUUUAAGAUCCUGAGUUUCUUUUAUUAUCCUCUUUGUUUUGCUCAUUUCCUUGAACUGUACAUCCCUAACCUAAAUCAGCUGGAGACAGGGGAAGAAAGUGUUAGAUUCUUACUCAGUUUAGAUCCUCUGCCAGGAAAACCCACUCUAUUCAUUGUCAACUAAAUUAACGCUUUUUUAAAUAAAAGGAGUCAUUUUUAACAAUAACGUCAGGGCAGCAGGCAUCCAUGAGAUGUAUGGUCACUGAUCAUUAGGGUUAUCAUUCUAAUGCGUUUACUAUUUUGAAACUCUAGGGAGAAGAAAACAGAAGAAAACUUAUUUUUGCAUAUGUUGGAAAAAUGUGUCCUCAUGUAGGAUAUCAGGGUAAUAUCUUUAAUGUUUCAUACUUACCAAGAUAAAUUUGUAAUGCAUAUUUUCUUUUAAAAUUAGAUUAUUUAGGAGAAAUUGCACUUGGUGAACCACUUACUCUUUAAUUAUUAGCAUUAACUUUAUCAUUUUUGUUUCAAGAUGUCACAGCUAUUGUUCAGCACUAGAAAUUAUAUAAAUUAUUAGCUGAAGAUGAUGACUGGCAACAUUUAUGUCUGUUCCUCCUCUUAAAUUUCUUGUUCAGAAAGUCUGUUGUUGUAAACAUCCCCGACUGGAAGCUGUAAGACACAGCUAAGCUUUCAGUCAGAUGUUUGCUGCUACCGGCUAUUCACAGACAUCCUCUUGAUAUAAUUCUGUCCCGGAGUGGAGUUGAGGAGGCUAUAAAAUGUGUGGGAAAACCUCAGAAAUCUUUAGCUGCAUUCUUUUACUGCACUGACAGUGCACGUAUUAUGAUAGUUGAAUGUAGGGUGCUCUCCUAAUAACAGGAUAUGCCGUCUCGAGCUUCCCAGACUUAGCGUGCUGCUGCUGGGCCUUAGAGAAUUUAGUUAAAUAAAAAGUGUCCCCGCCUAUUCCUGUUUCUGCCCUGUCAAUGAAAUUUUAGUCUUUAUAACCUUUCCAAGUAGGCUGGAGUUUAACAUCCCAACAAUUCAGGAGACUGAUUUUCUCCAUUGUAAAUUCUGUGGAAGUUCUGGAGAAUAAUUUCAUCACUACCACCCAGCAGUAUGCAAUCUAGAAAUUUCAGCUUUCCCUAUACUUAAAAGAGAUGUGUGUGCAACAUUUUUCUCCGUCCUCUUAGCCCCCCACUUCCUGUUCCCCUCACCCUGAGUGAUAUUACAGCUCCUAAUCAGAACUCUCCUCUAAGAAAAACUGCAAGACGUCAAGCCACUAAGCCUGUUUACAUUUGCUAAUGGGUAUGCAUGUCUUUUUAUAUUAAUAUUUUUCCUAAGUAUUUUCAGAUUGUUGCUUUCAGAUUUAUUGCUUCCUCCUUAAAAUAUAGCUGCCCUGAAAGCAGCUGUAUUGUAUCUAUUUUUUGUGUUUCCCCACAGAUCUGAAUAAUCCAAGGGCUUUUCUCACAGAUGACACUCAGUGUGGACUAAUUGAUAAUGUAUAAUUUUAUAGCAGCUAUUUUCUGAGUUUUAAAAAAUUGUUAUUUUAUUUCUGUUAGUCUUUCAGACACUGGAAAACAUUUCUAUUUUAUUGGCAUUUUUCUUUUCAAUAAAGCAUUGGUUUUUUAAAAUCAUUUAGUUUUAUUAAACUGCUAAACAUACUAUGUUAGGUUCCAUACAUGAUUAAACCAAAAGAUAAAGGUCUUGCCAAUCUAAUGUAUUUACAUGCUUAUUUUCUUUGAUUAGAUUAUAAGCUUUCUGAGGUCAGAGACAUUAAAUCUUGAUAAUUCUAUUUUUUCCUGUUAUAAACAGCAAGUAAAGCACCUUGCAUGUAUAGUACUUUAGUAAUGAUUUUAUAUUAUCUUAUUGCAGCAGUGUCUACUGUUUCCUCUUAUCUUUUAUCCAGAUGAGCAAAUGACAGUUUUGGUCAUAAUGUAGUUACCCCAGAUGUAUUUGUGCUACAGCUUUUAUUUUUUAAAUGCUCUUUUGUUAGAGUAGUAGUUUAUAAGACUUAUUUGGGGAUGGGGGUCAGUUGCUUCAGACUCAGGUGGCUUUCCAACUUGUAAAUACAAUUUUCAGGCUGGAUGAUUAGCAUGCAUCAAGCAUCCCUUCCUAUGAACUCUAAAUAAAGCAGAUUUAUUGCAUAUUCUGUGGCCCUCUGUUUUAGCACAUUGGAAACCUUAGACUCAAAUAGCAGUGAAAGGAUAGUUAUUGCUGAGCUCAGAAGUCUUCCCUGCCAAAGGUAGAAUGUAAUGUGUUCUGUGGUGAUAGGAUUAUUUUGUUUGACCAGGUGACACUGUUUAUUUCUUAUGAAAAAUUUUGAUAUACAGCUUUAAAAUUUAGUAAGAUGGAUGCAUAAUUUAUACAGUGAAAUUUGAAAGAUUUUUCAAAAUGAUAAGGCCAAACCUAAGCUAAAUGAGGGGGUAGGCAUUCUUUAUAAUAAAGCUGUUAUACUCUGCCCAGCUAGGCCAGUUAUCCCUAGAUGCUACAGAUUAAUGGGGCAAUCUGUGUUAUGUAACAUUUGUUCUAUAUUAUUCUGCCUCUAAUGAGGUGAAUCAAAGACGAUGUCAGUUUUAAUUCUGGAUGCCCUUGCUUCAGUGUAGUAUAAUACAUAGGUACAGCCUUUUUUAGUAGUUUUCAGAUGGCUACUUUAUGUUUUUAUAUUGAAGAACCACUAACUUCCCAUUGGCCUAUAAGGUUAGCAAUUGAUUAUUUAUAGCAAAUGGCUUGAAAUGUUAGAUCAUCAGUAUUUGUCAAUAAGCCUGUAAUAACUUGUUUCCCUAGCCCUUAACUUAGUGUUGAAGAAAAAAAUUGUGUUAUUCAUUGAUAGGACUUAGAAAGCACAGAAAUUACUUAUUAUUUAAGAUUUGUUCUACCAAUUGAUAUUUAAAGUAAAACAUUUUUAGUUACUGAACACCAUUCUGUAAAUGACAAUAUUUUAUCCUGAGUAUAUGGUCUGAAAUGACUUAGGGACAACUUUUUAAAGCAAAUAAGUAAUUACAAAAUUGGGUCUUCCAAUUUAUUUCAAAUUAGAUGCUUUUGUACAAAUAUUCUUGGUUAGAAAUAGUCAUAUAAAUACACUGUUGGACUUGUUCUCAUUGAUCUCCACGCUUCAGUUCCUUCUACAUGAGUCAUGGGCUUGAGGUUACCCAGAAAUGGACUGUGAACCUAUAAACCCCAGCAUGCAUGUGGUAUUGCAUCGAGCAUGUUCUGUGAUUCCCUUCUACUCUUGUUACAGCUUUAUUCAUUGGAUCAAUGUGCAUUAUUUGCUGUGUGUGCUCAGGUAAUAUUUUUGUUUCUUUUUUUUAGUUUGAAUAUCAGUUUGGGCUUAGUUACUUUUUAAAAUAAGGCUGUUUCAGAUAGUCUCUGCCACACUUUGCCUAGCCUGGUUAAUUGUGGGUGGACCCAUGCUACAUGUUUUGGCAUUGCCUUUUUCUUAUCUGUACCAUAUUACAAACUUCCUAGUAAUUUGACAUUCACUGCUGUCUUUGCUUUAGCUUUCCAACAGGUUUGGUGAAACAGUCCAUUGCUGUUCAAUAUCAGCUUGCAUCAGAAUUACUUGGAGGGCUUAUUGAUUAAAACACAGAUUGCUGGGCCCUGCAAAAAAAGUUUCUGAUUCAGUAGGUCUGGGGUGGAACAUGAGAAUGUGCUUUUCCCCCCACAGUUCCCAAGUACUGCUGAUGCUGCUCCUCUAGGCCCAUGCUUUCAGAAUCACAGAGCUCAUCUUACAUUCUUUUCCUGCUAGAUAUUAUGCCCAAUUAAUACAUGAAGUAAAACAGAAAAAUCCUUAACUUAAAAACAUGUAUUAAUCCAGAAGUUUGAUUAUAAAAAGGUUUGUUGAAAAUGUGAGACCAUUUUUUCUCCCAGAGAAAAAGUAUAUUAAUUGUCUAGCUGGGAGGGGCCUAUUUGAAUGUGUUUUCAGAGAAAAGCAGAAGAAAAAAAUACGGUUGUAAUAGAAGUAGUUAAAACAGAAAAGCAGUAUGGUUGUAGAGUGGGGUGGUGGGGAGGUAUAUGUGUAUUUAAUCUUGAGAACCAAUGCUUUUGGAAAACAGCCCGAAGGGACAAGAGACUAGUAGAGACUGGCGAGGUUCCUGAAAGUCCUGGGUUACCUGUGAAAUGCCAAAGAUUUUUAAAGUUUGCUGGCAGUGGUUAUUAUAUGUAGUUUUACUUCCAAAUUUGAAGAUUUCCUCUUCUUUGAUGCAAGUGUGUUGGUAGGACCACUGAUAAUAGUUAGUAGAGAUAUUUGUGGGAAUAUAUUUUUAAUCAGAAAGAAUGCAAAAAGAGGGGGAGACAUUUCUUUGAGACACCUUAAUGACACUGGGAACAGUAGAAGGUGGAAAGAGAUCAGAGUGUGGGAAAGAUGUGCCUGAGAUGAAAUUAUCUGAAUUCUGAAUGUGGGGGAGAAGAUGAGGAGAGGGUUGAGGGGGAGGAGAGAUGACUAAGCUCCUCACAGUGUUUCAUUAACUGUCUUUUACCUAAAGGAGGAAUCUUCUUAAUGAAGAUUGGUUGAUGCAUCAUACUGGUCAUCAAGUAAGUUCUUAUAAAUGCAAGUUUGAUUGUUUUGAAGGGAAGGAUGUAGGAAGGCUGGAUAAUCAGCUACAUUUAGAUAUGGAACGCUACAGGAUGUCUGCAUUUAUUGUUGUAAAUUCCUUUGGUGAAAAACGUUAUCACUUCUUUGUGACUAGCCUGGGCAAUAUAGUGAGACCUUGUCUCUAAAAAAAAUUUUUUUAAUAAGAAAAAUUAGCCAGGCAUAGUAGCGUGCCUGUAGUGCCCCCCACCGCCCUGGACACGCCCCCACUUCCAAAAAAACAAACACCCAUCUCACUUCUGCCUUUUCCUUGGAUUCUACACUUUCUCUCAGGAUAUCUUUCCGAUUGAGUCUUGCCUCAUUUAUGUGAAUGCUGUGCCUGUUCUUUUUUUCAACAGAGUCUUAUGUAAAGAACUGUACAAACUUAGUAAAGAGUUUAAGUCCUGCUUUAAACCAAGUUUCAGUUCAUGUAAACAUCCUACACUCAGCUGUAAUACAUGGAUUGGCUGGGAGGUGGAUGUUUACUUCAGCUGACUUGGAAUAUCAACCAAUUAACAUUGAUAAAAGAUUUGGCAAGAAUAGUAUACAGAGGCUUGAAUUUUUAAUGUAAUUAAUGUAAUUAAAGGUUUGUGGAAAUGUGAGACCAUUUUGUUCUCCCAGAGAAAAAGUGUGUUAAUUGUCUAGCUGGCAGGGAUCUACUUGAAUAUGUUUGCAGAGAAAAGCAGAAGAAAGCAUGGUUGCAGUAGGAGUAGUUAAAACAGAAAAACAGUAUGCUUAUAGAGGGAAAAUUACCCUAAAUUUAUUAAAAAUUUAUUAAAAUUCCUUUAAAUUUGUUACUCAAUUUAAAUUUUUAUUGUAUCUUUUCAAUUUUGCUAUAGCACUAACAUGACAUAAGGCUCUGGGUAUUGGGACAAAAGAAUGCCCUUGUUUGGUAGUUGGGGUCGGGUUUGUAGUAUUGCAGUGUGCUUUAACAAGCAUGGGCUUUGACAUCAGACAUUUGUUGCCAUCUGGACUCCACAAGUGAAUUUGCUACGGGAUUUGGAGGAGGGAAAGGCACUGUUUCCAUACCUCAGUGGUUUUCUCAUCUGCAAAAUAGGUAUGUGAUUGCAUGGAUUGACUUAUAUGAUGAAUAUAAAGUUGUUCAUUAGUACAGUACCUGUCAUAUUAAGUACUCAAUAAAUGCUAGUUAUUAUUAAUGCUGUGUUUUAGGUGUUCAGUAAAUAGUUGCCAUAAUGCUUAAAGCAGACAUAACUUGUUUUUAUUUUAGCAAUAAAGAUGAUGCCAACUUUUUGGUUUAAUGGAAAUGCUUUGAAUCUUUGAUAUUGUUGUAAUAUAGUGGCAAAGAAUUUUGAAUCCCAGCUUCUGGAGCUCAUAUCUUGAUUCUGCGAGUUACUUCGCUGUGUUACUUUGGGGGAAGUUAUUAAUCUCUCUGUGCCUCAGUUUCCUCAGUCAACUAAAUUGAAAUUAUAAUAGCACCUACCUGAUAGGAUUGUUGAGACUAAAUGAGGUAACAAUUUAAAAAUAAGCUAAUACCUGAUAAUUAGUUCUAUAUAUGUAUUGAUUGGUCUAAACGUUAUUUCCAUUUUCAUGUCUUUACUUAAAAUACUGAAAAUUAAUUUUUUAUAGCUUUGUUUUUCAGUUCCAUGAAAUCAGCCUGCCUUUUCUUUUUUUGGUGAUGCAUCCACAUUCUGUAUAGGUAAAAAGCAAAACAAACAAGUAUAAAACGAGAAUUAUGUAAGAAGUACACACAUCCUAGCAGCUUGGCAAGUGUCUGUAUGCUCUUGCCUGUGCCUAAAUCCAGAAUUAGAAUUCAUGUUUGGUGCUCCUGUGGAAGAUGUCUAAAUGUUAUGAGAAAUACAUGAUUAAAUAAAAAUGUGAAAUGAAAGCAUGGAGACUUGUUGAAGAUGUAGGCUGUCCAGGUGUCCGGUACUAUAACUCCACAAGAUCAGUAGGGCCCCAGGCUUUUUCUGUUCUUUAUGAUCCACUCUCUACCAUGUAGCAUUUGUCUUCAAGAUCAAAAAAUGGUGGCUGUAGUGCUCACAUUCCAGAUAAGGAAGAAUGGGCAAGAAACAAAAGAUCCACUCCAAAUGUGAUGGCAAAAUGAAGAUUUUUGAGUGAAAAAUGGAAAUUUGUCUUCAGUACAUACACACUGAAAGAAAUGUUGAAGAGAGUUCUUCAGGCAGAAGCAAAAUCAUUCCAAGGGAAAUCCUGGAAUGCAGGAAUAAAUGAAGAGCAAUGGAAAUGGUAAAUAUGUGGGCAAAUUUGAAGGAAUAUUGGCUGUAUUAAAUUCUGUGGUUUAAAAUAUCUGUGGAAUUAAAAUGCACCUACAAUAACGAGACAGGAGAAGUUUGUACUGGAGUUUGUCCUCAGGUUCUAGCAUUAGGUAGGUAAAUGGUAAGAUUACUUUUUUUAGACUAUGAAGACAAGGGUGCAUGUUGUAAUCUCUUAAGCACUAAAAGGCUAAUAGAAUGUAUACCUAACAAUUUAAUGGAGACAAAAGCAUUUAAAAGAAGGCAAGAAUAGAAAAGGGACAUAAAACAGAUGGGUCAAAUUUAAAGUUGCAAAAUAGAAACCCAAAUACUUUAAAUGAGUCAUUAGUUGAAUUAAGUUUAAAAAUUUAUCAGGCUGAAAAUUCCCUACUACAUAUUGCUUACAAGAGGCAUAGUUUAAAUACAAGGCCACACAAAAAGAUCGAAUGUAAAUGGCAUAGGGAAAAAAAAAAAAAAACAGCAAACCAAAUAAAAACAGUUUGUGGUAUUGUCAGGCAAUGAGAUUUAAGGCAAAAAGCAUUACUAGAGAUAAAGAGGGACAUUUUAUAAUGAUGAAGGAAUUAAUUCACCCAAAACACAUAAAGAUCCUAAAUCUGUAUGUGUUGAAAAGAGAUUUGAAAUACAUAAAGCAAGAAUGACAUAUAAGAGGAGAAAUAGGUAAGUUCCUAACCAUAGCUGGAGGCUUAUGCAGCUUUUUCCAUAGCUGAUAGAAUAUCCGGACCCUACCCCCAAAAAAUCAGAUGCAGAGGAUCUGAAUUUUACAUAUAUGAAUACUUGAUUUAAAAAACAUAAUUCAUAUUUUCUUCAAGUAAAUUUAUCAAGAUUUACCCUAUUUUGAGUCAUAAAGCAAACCAAUAAUCUCAAAAGAUCAAAAGCAUUCAUCUUACAUUCUCUAACACAGUGGAAUUAAACUAGAAAACAGUAGAAAACAGUAAAAAAGAUGAUUAGAGAAACCCUCAACUACUCUGAAAUUAUGUAAUAGAUUUCUUGAUAGUCCCUGGGUCAAAGAAUAAAACAAAUUUAAAAAUAUUUUCAAGUGAAUAAUAUGACAUACCAAAAUGUGUGUUGCAGCUGAAGCAGUAUGUGGAGGAAAAUUUAUAGAUUUACAUGCGUACAUUAGAAAAGAAGCAAGGCUGAAAGUCAAUUACCUAAACUACUUUCAAGAAGCUGGAAAAAGAAGAGCAAGGAAAUAAUAAAAGACAAAAAGUCAGUGAAAUAACACACAAUAGAGAAAGCCAAAAUGUUGGUUCUUUGAAGUCUAAAAACAAUAAUAACCUCUACUGUUUAACAUAUUUGGGAUAUUAGCCAAUAACAUAAGGCCUGAAGUAAAAAGAUACAACGUUUAGAAAGAAGAAAAUAAUACCAUUUAUAGACAACUGGUUGUGUGCAUAGAAAUUUCAAAAGACUCAACAAACAAAAUAACUUAUCAAGGUCACUGAAUACAAACUAUACAGAAAUUGUAUUUCUAUAUAUCAGAAACAAAUAGAAAUUGAUAAAAUGAUACCAUUUACACUAGCAUAAAAUAAAUACAAGAAAUGUUCCAAUCAUUUAAGAAUUUUUUUUUUAAUUCUAAAUAUAUGGAUAUACCAUGUUCAUGACUUGGAAGUCAAUUUUGUAAAUUAAUCUGUAACGUCAAUAUAUGAUAUUAUCAAAAUCCCAACAGUAUGUUGGAGAAAUUAACAAACUGAAGAAAUGCAAAGGACCAAGAAUAUCCAAGAUAAACUUGAAAAAUGUUCACCAACAGACAUAAGACCUGUGAUUAUAAAAGUAUAGUUGUAAUUAACACUGAUGUUGGCUGGCAUAAGGAUAGACAAAUAGACCAAAGUAACAGACUAGAGCAAAGUAGACUAGAACAAAAUAGAACAAAGUAACAGAAUUCUGUAUACAUGGUGAUCCACACAUUUAGGUCAUCUGUGAUUUAUGAGAAAAAGAAACUAUUGUAAUGGUACAGUCAAUUAGAUAGCUGUAUUGGGGAAAAAAGUAGACCCCUUCCUUGAUACCAUAUAUAUAGAAAAAUCAAUUCCAUGUGGAAUAUGGUUUAAAUGCAAAAGGAAAUAAUGAAACAGGAGAGUGUCUUCAUGUUUUGGGGUAGGCAACUAUUUAAAGGACAUAAAGCAUAAAGGAACAUUUUAAACUAAUUUGUGGUGAUAGAAUCAGGGUAGAGGUUAUCACUCGCCUGGCAAAAUUAAUCAAUAAGAAAAGACAACUUAGCCAGACACAGUGGCUCAUGCCUGUAAUCCUAGCACUGGGAAGCUGAGGCAUGAGGAUAGCUGAAGGCCAGGAGUUCAAGACUAGCCUGGUCAACAUAGCAAGACCUUGUCUCUACAAAAAUUUUAAAAAUUAACUGGGUGCGGUGGCAUGCACUUGUAGUCCCAGUUACUUGGCAGCCUGGGGCAGGAGGAUCAUCUGAGCCCAGGAGUUUGAGCCUGCAGUGAACUAUAAUUGUGUCACUACACUCCAGCCUGGGCAACAGAGCAAGACCCUGCCUGUCUAAAAUUAAAAAAAAAAAAGACAGCUUGAUAUCAGGAAAGAAAUAAGGCAUGAAAACGGAUAAAAUUAAAAUUAUUUGAUUUAGAAAGUGUGAAUUUAUGUGAAUAAAUUUGAAAUUUUAGAUAUUUUUUGAUGAGUGUUGCCAAAUAUGUAUUAGUAAAUAAGUCUCAAUCUGUUUUUUAAAAUCUACUCUGAAUAAUGCACAAGCUCUGGAUGAUUUAUUAAAAUACAUUCAUUGUGACCAAGUAAGGAUUAUUUCCAUAUGGGAGAAUGAUUUAACACUGAAAAAUAUUUUCACAUAGUAUAUACCAUGUUAAUAGGUUAAAGAGAAAAGGCAUGUUGCUAUCUCAGUGAAUGCAGGGAGUUGGAGGGGGAGAACCAGCAAAAUGCAAGUUAUAUUCACUUAGGAUUUUAAAAAUAAAACAUCCUCUUAAUAGAUGAAUAAACGUAUUAGUACGAUAAAUGAUAGCUUACCAAAACCCAUAGUUAUUGUUACAAGUUAAUGGUACAACUUUAGAGAUGUUCCUUAAUGUCAGCAAUAGUACAGGAAUGGGAUAUUGUAUUAAUACAUCUGUUCCAUGUUGCACUGGAGAUCUUGGCCAGUGCAGUGAGACUAGAAGAAUAAAUAAUAGGCAUAAAGACUGGAAAGAGAGAAUCAAUUAUUGUUAAUGGGCAAGAUCAUUGUUUAUUUGAAAGUCCAAGGAAAACUACAAAGUAGCAAAACUAAUGUGAGUGUUGAGAGAUUUUGGAUAUAAGAGCAAUCUGCAAGAAUUAGUAGUGUUCUUUUCCACUUCAGUGUGUUUGAAAGUGUAUUAUUUGAAAGAAUUUCAUUCACAAUUAAAACUCUAAGGGGACCUAAUAAUACAUCCAAUAAAAAUAUGCAAGAUUUUGUAAAAGUAGACUAAAAUGAAUGGAGCAAUAUUCUAUGUUAGAGAAUGGGAAAAAUCAGUGCAUUAAAGUACCAGUUCUCUCCAAAUCUAUAAAUUCACUGAAGUUCCAAUCAAAUUCUCAACAAAACUUUUUAUGGAAUUUAAUCAGCCUAACCUAAAUGUGGAAAGACAAAGUUGAGAUUUUUUUUUUUUUUUUAACAGGAAAAAUAGCGGAGUACCUAUCAUAAAAGACAGUAGGGCUUAUAAAACUAUAGUGAUAACACAGCCCUUGUGAUGCCAGGAUAGGCAUGUAAAUCUAUGGUACAGAAACAGAUACAUGAGAACCUGAUACGUGACACAGUGGAGAAAUUAGUAACUUUUCAAUAAAUGGCACUAGGACAAUUGCAUGUCUGUAUGUGAAAAAAUUAUAUACCCUUCUCACACCAUAUUUUUAGAAACUGGUAGAUUAAAGACCUAAAUGUGGCGGGGGGGAGGGGGGCGGGAAUACCAUUUUAAAUAUUUUAGAAGGUAAUACAGGAAAAUUUGAACCAAUGUAAGGAAGGAGUUGUUGGAUGUGACUCAGUGGGAACCAUGAAGAAAAAGAGUCACACAUCUGACUGUAUUAAAACUAGAAACUUAAGUAUGACAAAAGACACUGAAUAUUAGAGGGCCAGCCACAGACGUGGAAGGUACUUACCUUGCAAUUAUCUACCGGUAACUGACAAAGGAAGUGUCCAAAUUACAUAAAGGACUACUUAAGGGGGGAAUAAAUGAGUGAUAGAGAGAACCAAAAGGUCAAUUAACAGAAAAAUGUUUUAGCUCACUAGUAGUCAAGGAAAUGCCAGUCAGCACAGUUAGAUACCAUUUCACAUCCAGUCAGAUAAUAUCAGGGAUUGGCAAACAUGUUGAGAAAAUAAUUCAUACUUUAGUAAAGUUGAAAUUACACAUUGCUUAUAACAGCAGUUCAACAUCUGUCUUUUUAUAAGACUAAAGUUUUGCAUCAUAUUUAGGUACAGAAAUUGUCAGAACACUUAAAGCUUGUAGGCAUUUGUUGCAGGGAGAAGACUGAAUUGCUUUUUUCAAAAACUGAAAAUCACAUUGACGUGUUGUAAAACAGAACCUUAGCUUUAGAGAGGGAAAAAAAAACUACAGUAUUUUGUUAAAUUUAGCUACAUUUAAAGAUACUAAUAAAUGCAGUUUAUGAACUACCAGUCUCCUAUGUUGGUCAUAUUUUGACAAGUAAGGCUUUUUUUUUUCAUAACGUCGAUAUUCACACAGAGGUUACAGUUCAGAUUAGGAGAACAUAUGUAUGAUAAAACAAUUAGACUAAAAAGUUCCUUUCUUUUUAUAUGAAAUGGCAGAAAAGCAACAGCAGUUUAUUGCUUAUGACAGAAUACAUUGAUACUCGAAUAUUUCUUGAGAUCUUUGCUUAAAUCUACUAGUAUCUAUACAAAAUUUUUAUGUUUACUUCACUAGAUUGUAAAUUCAGUUUUCUUACUAAGAAAGACUGAAAUUUAUUAAUAAUUUUGGGGUUCUAGUGAUUAGCAUUAGAGACUGAUUUGCUUUUAAAGAGAAUCGCAUAUUUUAUAUAUUUCCAAUUUUACAUACUUCUGAAAGAACAUAACUUUGUCAUUAAUAUAUGGCAUAUGUAUACAAUGAAAAAUGUACAAGGAUGUUUCUUACAGCAGUUAUUGAAAUAGCAGGAAGAAAAAGGUAACUUAAAAUACACUUAGCACUAGAGUCUCCAGUCACAUCUACUCCCUGGCCCAUGAACUAAGAACGUUUUUAACGUGUGUAUGAAAGGAGUGACUUAAUAGAUCUGGCGUGUUGAAAUCUGCACCUUUCAAAGAAAGGUCUAGCCCUCAACUUGCUCCUGGGAGAUCACAGCGCUAAGCCCCUGGAAUAUCCUGCCUGACGCAAGGCCUUUGUUUACCUGGGGCCUUGGAUCACACCAGAUAGUUUAUGCUACAGAUUUAUGGUGAGGGCAUUGCACCUUGCAGUAUCAAUUUAAUCGCCGGGGGAGGUGGAAACUGAAUAACAUCUGCCAUUUCUGUUCUCCAUGCCUAUGUGACUAACACCCAAUAAAAACCUUGGACACCAAGUCUCAGCUUCCCUGGUUGAUAAUAUUUCAUAAAUGACCCACACUCAUUCAGAGAGGAUUAAGUGCUGUGCAUGCAUCUCCUGUCAGAUGGGACAACUGGAAGCCUGUCCUGCUCUCUUCUGAACUCUUUCCUAUCUGCCUUUUAAAACUGUACUGAUUUUAAACUGUACUUUUGCUCUAAUAAACUAAUUGUCAACG